GCCGGGCGUGGUGGCGCAUGCCUGUAAUCCCAACUACUCGGGAGGCUGAGGCAGGAGGAUUUCUUGAGCCCAGGGUUUACAGUUACAGUAGUUAUGAUCACACUACUGCACUCCAGCCUAAGUGAUAGAGAGAGAUCCUGUCUCUU
rnacentral:SRP_RNA from 1 species